CCCAUAAAUAGAUUUACAAUCUACCACUUUUAUCAGCCAUUUAAUC
rnacentral:tRNA from 3 species